rnacentral:tRNA from 1 species
GAGAGGUCUGGGACACAAAGAACUGCUAAUUCUUUACUUUCAUGGUUCAAAUCCAUGGCUCA